UAUCUCUGUAGAGUCUGCAUAUCAAUAAGCGGAGGAAAGAAACUAACAAGGAUUCCCUUAGUAACGGCGAGUGAAGCGGGAAGAGCUCAAAUUUGAAAUCUUCAAGGUUCUACCUUGACGAAUUGUAGUUUAAGGAAGUGUUUUCUGUUAGAUGAGUAGCAAAAGUUCCUUGGAAUGGGACAUCAUAGAGGGUGAGAAUCCCGUAUUUGGUUAUUCAUUCUAGCUUUGUGAUACACUUUCAAAGAGUCGGAUUGUUUGGGAAUGCAGUCCAAAAUGGGUGGUAAAUUUCAUCUAAAGCUAAAUAUUGGCGAGAGACCGAUAGCGAACAAGUACCGUGAGGGAAAGAUGAAAAGAACUUUGAAAAGAGAGUUAAACAGUACGUGAAAUUGUCAAAAGGGAAGCGUUUGACACCAGUGUUGUUUUUCCGAAAAUCAAUUACGAAUGGCUUGAUUUUGUGUUGUAUUGACCUUAUCAGCUUUCUGCACUUUUUUCGAGUCUUUCUUAAUGCACUUUUCGGUUAACAAGUCAACAUCAAUUUCUUUUGUUGUAAAAGAGUAUUCGGAAGGUGGCUUUCUUUUCGGAGAAAGUGUUUAUAGCCCUAUACUUCUACAAUCGGAGAGAUUGAGGUCUGCAGCGUAGAUCCUUCGGGGUUAGAUACACUUGUGCUAAGUUGUAGCUUUUCAUAGACAACUUGUUGACUAUGUUUAGUCAUGCGGCUUACUCGCUUAUGCUAUUUUACCUACGCUUAGGAUGUUGACUGAUAUGUAGUCGUA
rnacentral:rRNA from 1 species